GAAAUGCGAUAAGUAAUGUGAAUUGCAGAAUUCAACGAAUCAUCGAAUCUUUGAACGCACAUUGCGCCCGUUGGUAUUCCGACGGGCAUGCCCGUUCGAGCGUCAUUUCAAUUCCUUCCCGGAGGACUCUUCUAAUAAAAUUUUUUUUUUUUUUAGUGGGGUCCCGCGGGGCGUUGGCACUGGGCGCCACCUUUUUUGGAGGCGGCCGGAGCCGAAAUAAAGCGGCGGACGCGCGGCGGCCCCUAGCGCAGUAGAAUACCCUUCUCGCUUGGGAGACCUGCAGCGGCGGACCACAGCCCUACAACGCAUUAAAGCUAUAUAAAAACUUGACCUCGAAUCGGGUAGGACUACCCGCUGAACUUAA
rnacentral:misc_RNA from 1 species